rnacentral:lncRNA from 1 species
AAUAAUAUUAAAAAAGCUUUAAUCAAAUUCAAAAGAAAUCUUAAAGAAAUUACAAGAAAAAUAAUAGAAAAUCUUAAAGGAUUUGAAAGAAAAUCUACAAUAAACCUUAAAAGAAUUUUUAAAAAAUCUUAAAAAAUAUUAAAAUAAUUACAAAUAUAUCUUAAAUAAAUUUCAACCAAGUUCUAAUUUAAUCCUUAUUGAAAUUCUAAUGGACUUGAAUCAAAUCUUUAACAAAUUCUAAACCCUAAAUCAAACCCUAAACAAAUCCUAAAUCCUAAACCAAAUCCUAAAUAUAUGUUAAAUCCUAAAUCAAAUCCUAGAUAAAUCCUAAAUCCUAAAUCAAAUCCUAAACCAAAUCUUAACCAAAUCUUAACCAACUUAAUCUAACCUUAGUAUUGUUUAGAACCUCAAUAUCUAUCAAUUAAACUAUUGAUCUUGCUUAAAAAUU